GAGCAGUGACCUAUGGUUUCGAUAAAGGGAUUAAAGCAAUGGCUGAGCAAUUAUCUAGGGUUCUGACCAAGGAGUUCAAGUGAUAUUUUCAGGAAUGGGCCACAAGACGGAAGAAACUCAAUGUAGGAUGGUACUUAUGGUAAAACUUGCCCGGUCCCACUGGGCAACAAUUUUACAUACAUGCUUCAAGCGAAGGAUCAGAUUGGUAGCUUCUUCUGCUUCCUGUGACCUGGCCUUCAAAAGGCCGCCAGAGGCUAUGGCGGCACGAAAAUCUACAGUCGCCCUCGGAUCCGGUCCUCUUUCCUUUCCCUGCCAGAGAUCAAACUGUUCUUGCUAGUGAUUGGUAAAAAAAGGCCACCAGAGACCAAGACACACAUAGGGCAUGGGUGAAAGCUUUCUUCUUCUUAUGGACUUGUCAUCAAUGGGCGUGGCUCGAAUGGUUACACAUUCGAAGUCAAACAAGGUAGUUAGAAUUUUUUUAUAUUGUACAAUGUUUUCAGACUUGGCCACAUAGUCGGUCCGGUUGAGUCUAUUUGAACCAGCCGGAAACCGUCCAGAGCGCUUGAACCGGCAAACCACACCGGUGG